CAUUUGACCCCGGCUGCUUGGCUGCCGCAGAGGGAUCCGGGGGCGCGCAAGGCUAAAGGGGGGGGGGGGUGGAAUAAGCGGGAGAGAAGCCGAGAGAAGGGGGGAAAGAGGCAGAUGGAUCGACGCCCCCUCCCUCCCUCCUCCCUCCAGGAGAAGAAACCUUUUCCUCCUCUCCCCCCUCCCCUCCCUUUGACUGAACCCCAAUCUUGUUUCUGGAUGGGGUGGGGGCACAAAAGACAGAGUGAGAUCUCCAAAAUUUAAAAAAAGAGCCAUCCGCAGGCCAGAGGGAGGAACGGGAAAGGAGAGAGCACUGACUGGCAAUAGGAAUGAAUGGUAGCCAUCUGGAUUUGAGAUCACUGGUGGAAAGAUCUUUGCCUCAGAAGGUUGGCAGAAGCUGGAGCUAACAGCAGGCGCUCACUCCGCUCUCUGGAUUCGAACCUGGGACCUUUCGGUCUGCAAGUUCAGCAGCUCAACGCUUUAACACACUGAGCCACCAGAGGCUGCAAGGAAAUGCAUAUGAAAGCUAACUGGCACAACCUGGGGAUCGCAACCAGACACAGUGAAGACAUCUGCCCUUGCACUUUGCUUCUGAAUAUGCAUGCCCAGUGUGGAACACAUCUCACCAUGUGUCACAGGAUAUCUAUACCCUACACCACUGGAGAAAUUAUACUGUUUAGCCAGUAUUGCACUAUUUGAUAUCCUCUGGGAAGUAGCAGCCAACAAUGAAAGGGCAAAGGCAGUGACAUCUCUGGCCCAUCCCCUGUUCUGAUAUCAGCCAGCACACCAAUGCCUUAAAUCAAGAAAAAGAUACUUGCAGGAACACCUCAGCAAGCAAGAGUCCAAAAGUGGCAGGCUAAAAUCUGGAACCUCAAGCCAUGGCUGAUACUGAAUGAGAGACUUCCUCCUAGGCACACAGAAGACUGGAUGACUUAGAAGGUGCUGAACAGGUUGCUCUCUAGCACCACGAGAUGCAGAGCCAACCUUAAGAAAUGGGGCCACAAAGUGGAGUCCACGACAUGCGAGUGUGGAGAAGAGCAAACCACAGACCACCUACUACAAUGCAGUCUGAACCCUGCCACAUGCGCAAUGGAGUACCUUCUUACAGCAACACCAGAGGCACUCCAAGUGGGCAGCUGCUGGUCAAAGGACAUUUACUAUAAUGCCAAGUUUUUAACUUUGUGUUUUUUAAUACAUUACAACUGUACCCUCGGUUCGCUCCUGACACAUAGAUAGAUAGAUGGAUGGAUGGAUGGAUGGAUGGAUGGAUAGAUAGAUAGAUAGAUAGAUAGAUAGAUAGAUAGAUAGAUAGAUAGAUAGGAAAUGCUUGAGAUAUAUUGCCAAGCAGAGCAACUAGAGUAUCUGAAUAACUAGCCUAUGGCUUGAAACUAUGUAAUUGGAUGUACUGGCUACAGCAUCAAAUGUAAACCAAGAUGGUAUAAAUUUGAAUCUCUGCCUAGCUGCCGCACUUCUUGCCAUUACUGUAAAUGGGAUGGGAAAUUUUGAUCUCCAAGGAUUUCAUCAUGUGACUCGAAUAAUCCAUGCCUGGUGAGACAGAUGGGGCCAUUGGCCACAAUAUCUGAAAGGCCAAAGGUUUUGCACAUUUGGGUUAGAACAGUGGUUCUCAAUCUGUGGGUCCCCAGGUGUUUUGGCCUACAACUCCCAGAAACUCCAGCCACUUUACCAGCUGUUAGAGUUGAAGGAAGUUGAAGGCCAAAACAUCUGGGGACCCCAGGUUGAGAACCACUGAAGCUCUUGAAUUUGUUGUUCACCUCGUGGAAUUGAGGUGAGCAACACAUUUCUAAGUGAGAAAGGGAAAGGAUAGUGUACUGUUUAGAACAGAAGUAAGACAUGAAGUCAAACCUCUACUCAGCUACUCACUAUUUUUGGUCCAACCUACCUUGCAGGUCUGUUGUGAAGAUAAAAAUGGAGAUCCUAUAUGCUGCUUUGAUCUUCUAUGGAGAAAGGCAGAAUAUAUAUACAAUGAACAAUGACGAAGUGUAGUAUAUUUUCAUGAUUUCACCAAAUCCAGAUAGAAGUACCAUUUUGAUCAACCGCUUGAUAACCAUUUUUUGUUCAAUUGGGGAGGGAGAGCAGCUUGAAGAACAAUAUGUGUAUACAGGCAGUCCCUGAGUUACAAACAUCUGACUUACAAAUGACUCCUCUGAAGGGAAAUUCACUCCUGGAAGACAUAUCAUGGGGAAAAAGCAUGAUGGUUUUCCCCUGACAUUAAGUCCAGUCGUGUCCGACUCUGGUGGUUGGUGCUCAUAUCCAUUUCUAAGCCAAAGAACCAGCGUUGUCCAUAGACGCCUCCAAGGUCAUGUGGCCGGCAUUACUGCAUGGAGCGCCGUUAUCUUCCUGCUGGAGCAGUACCUAUUGAUCUACUCAUGUUUGCAUGUUUUCAAACUGCUAGGUUGGCAGAAGCUGGGGCUAACAGCAGGAUCUCACUCCACUCCCCGGAUUUGAACCUCCAACCUCUCUGUGCCACCAGGAGCUCAAUCAAAGCAUACAUACAUACAUUUGGCUGGAGUUACAUUUUUUGGAGUUCUGACAUACAUAGAAAUUCAACUUAAGAACAAACCUACAGAACCUAUUUUGUUCAGAACUUGGGGACUGCCUGUAUAUCCCUUUAAGUCUCGCAUUGACUUAUAACGUCAUAAAUUUGUGAGGGGUUUUUUUAGGCAAGGAUAACCCUGUUUGCCUUCCUCUUCCAAGAUCAGAUAGAACGUAGUGCCUUCAGGGUAUGAAAACAGUCGCCGAUCCAUAUCCAUGAUUUAAUCAUCCACAGCUUGAAAAAUUUUUAAAGAGAACAUUUCAAAAAGCCAACCAUAAUUAUAUAUAAGGGGCACCUCUUUACUAUACAAUUGUAUAUAAUGGGGCAUAAGCAUCUAUAGAUGUUGGUAUCUACAGGGGAUCCUGGAACCAAACCCUAGAUGAUACCAAGGACCCGCUGGACCAAUUUGUCUUUGCUGUAGCUAUAUUGGUUCUGCUCCUUCUUCUCUCAUCAGGAAAGAGCAGAGAGCAGAUUGCUGUGGCUUCAAGAGGCAUGUAGUCUGCUAGUCCCAAUGAUACAGCCCAGGUCUUCAUGAGAAUUUGUAAUAAAAACACAAGGUUUUGCUGCACCAAAAGUGUAUUCAAGUACAGUAGAGUCUCACUUAUCCAACACUCGCUUAUCCAAAAUUCUGGAUUAUCCAACACAUUUUUGUAGUCAAUGUUUUCAAAACAUUAUGAUAUUUUGGUGCUAAAUUCGUAAAUACAGUAAUUACUAUAUAGCAUUACUGCGUAUUGAACUACUUUUUCUGUCAAAUUUGUUGUAUAACAUGAUGUUUUGGUGCUUAAUUUGUAAAAUCAUAACCUAAUUUGAUGUUUAAUAGGCUUCUCCUUAGUCCCUCCUUAUUAUCCAACAUAUUUACUUAUCCAAUGUUCUGCCGGCCCGUUUAUGUUGGAUAAGUGAGACUCUACUGUAGCAAUGAUUUUUUUUUUUAGGGCAAAUGAGGCCACUCUUCCGUGAACAUCAAGCAAGGUUUCAUUCAACACAUCCAUUUGGGGUAGAAAGACAAUGAUGGUGAUAAGAUCAUCUAGUAAUUAAGUACUGGCAUUAUCCAAAACUCAAUUUUGAAAUUACUGGGUGGGGGAGGGGGGUAAUGAUAUUGCUCUGUUCAAAUGUCCUCCAUAUCACCAUACCUACCUCGUUGUCAUAUUUCUCUGUGACUAAGACCACUUCCACACAACACUACCACAACCUCCUGAAUCGCAGCUCCAACGUGGCCGAAGAGGUUCCCUCACAAAUCCUGCAACAACAAGCCAGGGAUGAGUUUGCAGCACUGCCUAGUUUGGAGGAAGUCAGCAACGCCAUCAGCCAACAAAAUAAAUAAAUAACAAAGGCAGCGGACUUGACCCUAAAGCCCCUUCCACACUCCCACAUAAUCCAGAUGAUCAAAGCAGAUAAUUCACAUUAUCUGCUUUGAACUGAAUUAUCUGAGUCCACAUUGCCAUAUAUUCCAGUUCAAUGUGGAUUUUAUUACUUACUUACUUACUUGGGCAAUACUUGUUGUCCGAGUAUGAUGGCCUUCCAAGUGUAGUGUCUUGGCGGUAGGUACGUAGAUAACUGUGGAUCCCUAUCUUUGAUGCGCAUGUUCAAGAUAAAAUUAAAGUUUUGAUAAUCUGGAUUAUAUGGCAGUGUAGAAGGGACCUUUGUCUACACUGCCAUAUAAUCCAGUUCAAAGAAGAUAUUCUGGAUUUUAUGUGGCAGUGUAGAAAGGGCCUAAGAAAGCAUUUCAGUCUCCAAUUCUGCUACAGAGCACAAGGGAUUAAUGCCAUGUUGUGUGUAUCCAAUUUAGAGUGAUCCUAAUAUAAAGCUAUCAUGGGGCAGGGGUCUUUUGGCAAGAUUUGAUCAACCAUUGCCUUCCUCUGUGGCCAAUAAAAUAUGACUUAUCCAAGGUUACCCAGUAGGUUUCCAUAUCCAUGUGGAGACUUGAACCCUGUUCUCCCAAGUCCAACACUGAAACAACUCCACAAUUACGACUCUUGAAAGAAUGCAAAGCCAGAGAUAUGAUGAGCAUUUCAAAUAGAUCUGUAUUCUUAGGUUAUCAUAGAAACGUAGAAUUGGGAAAGACCGAUCCCCUGUCAAUGUAAGAAUCUACCACUGAACUAUAGAAAUCAUUGUUGAUCUUUUUUUCUUUAUUGCAGGAGUGGGGAACACGUAGAAGAGGCCUUAGAGUGACGAAAGCCCCACCUACACUGCCAUACAAUGGAGUUUGGUCACCAUAUAUGCACCAUGCAUUUAAAUAGCAAUCACAGACAUUAUUUCGUCAUGGAUUCCAACUGUAUCAAGUUUAUAUAGAGGAAAGAUCUUUCAGAUUCAUCACUACAAUGCUCAUAAGUCUGUGAGUGAAGAACAUAGUUGCUUCUGUUGUGUUAUAGCUCUAUCAAUCUCUGCUUCAUCCAGUCUUUUGGAGAGAUGUCCUCACAACAUAUAUUUUUAAACAAUGCUGCAACGGAACAUCAAAGGCCCAUGACUCCCUUGUUGUUGUUAACUGUCCUCACAUCAACUUCAACAACUUAUGGUGAGAGACAUCCAGUCGUCCUCUCAUCAGCAGCAAUAACCUCUUACAUAGGACCUCUUUUCUCCCAGCUUAGGAGACAACUUCCCCCUUUGCCAUAACUUUCCAUAACUCUCCAAGACAGCCUGCUUCAUGUCUUACCUCAUGAUCCCAAUAGCCCUGAAGUCACUUAAGACUGAGCAUAGAACUGCUAUCUCUGUUAUCUUCACGGCCCUCUGUUUAUUUGCCCUGAGCAAGGAGGGAUUAUUCAAGCCUUAGUGAUUUUUCAUUUAUUUAUAAUAUCAUUAAAAUAUAUCUAUUGCGUGAAUAUUUGUUUAUAAUAUUUUGGAUGUAGCUAAUAUCCCAGAGAACAAGAUCAAAAUGCAAUAAAUAUAUUUAUUGCAUGCAUAUUUGUUUAUAAUAUUUUGGAUGUAAUUAAUAUCCCAGAGAACAAGAGAAUAGCUUUGUUCAAUUGUUGGGCCAAAACUAACAAAAUUAAUUUCAGCAAGGAUACACCUAGAGCAGUAGUUCCCAACCUUUUUUUGACCACGGACCGCUUGACUAGGGACCACUUGAACAGGGACCACUUUGACCAGGGACUACUCUGCAACAUUAGGAGCCGCGGUGGCGCAAUGAGUUAAACCCUUGUGCCACCUGGACUGCUGACCUGAAGGUUGGAUUGCUGACCUGAAGGUCUCUUCCAACUCUAUGAUUCUAUUAUUCAACUUCAAAACAAACCUACAAAACCUAUCUGUUCAUAAGUUGAGGACUGCCUGUAAAUGUCCCAAAUGAGCAUUCAAUUUUCCAGCACAUGUUCAACUCCCUAUGAUUGCACAACACACCAAAUAUGUGCAGCACUGACACAUUUCAUUCUUUCAUUAAUAGCAUACAUGCAUUCCUGCCCAUAUUGCCAACAGGAAGCUAAAAGAGAAAGAAGAGUCACUUGAAGACUACCUGGUGAGUUGAUGGUGUUGGGAAUCAUCCUGGACUACUCAAGUCUAAAUGUAGUUAGAUAGAUGAUAGAGUUAGAUUGAAGGAUUCCUUUCCUGUUUCCAAAGCAUGCCUAGACAGGCUUUACUGUGUUUUACCCUAUCCUGUUUACGUCACAUCCCUUACUUUGAAGUUAGCAGAAAUGUGACUCUCCAGGGACAUUAACUUCUCAUUGGUCAGAAUGUCUUUUAUGGCCCCAAUAAACUGGACCAUGAGGUUGGAACCAUUUUGGUUCUCUUUUCUCCCUUUGUUCUUCAAGCUAACAAGAAGCAUCCUGCCAUCUCUCCUGGCAAGAUGUAACUAUUUAGAUGUUUGUUAUUUUUCCUUUCUUAUUUUUCCUUAGAAACCAGUCUAGAGUAGUCUAGACAGCUCCCAAGCCUUUCUAUCUACAAUGGAGUUCUUUUUACCUGAAUAAAUACUUUUUGAACUUUUAUUGAGACUCUGCAACCAUUGCAAUCCUAAAUAGACAAAGGUUUCUCUUGCUCGCCCGCGUGUAAGCAACUGUUGCAUUUGAAAGCUUUGCUUUUGCUACUCUGCUGUUUUUUGGUGGAAUUUCCCCCAGAGAGGGUUAAAUUGAGUCUAACUGCUCAGAGAGCACUGGCACAUUUCAUUCUUUCAUUAAUAGCAUACAUGCAUUCCUGCCCAUAUUGCCAACAGGAAGCUAAAAGAGAAAGAAGAGUCACUUGAAGACUACCUGGUGAGUUGAUGGCACAGAUAGUAGGUGUAUAUCUCAAAUCCUGAUCUUGAGACAUCUUCAGCCAGGAGCCCUAAAAUAUCUCUUCCUGCACUGGAGUUUGUAGUACAAGUGUAAAGGCUGCAUUAGUGAGUUUGCAUUAGCCUGAUAACAUUAGAAAGGGCUGCUUUACGCUUUCUCAUAUCCAUAUAGGUUACACUAAAGAAACAAGAGAUUCUUAGGGCCUUUCCGCACAGCCCAUUUUCCCAGAAUAUCAAGGCAGAAUAUAUCUGCUUUGAAUUGGGUUAUCCGAGUCCACACUCAGAUAAUGUGGUAUAUUCUGCCUUGAUAUUCUGGGAUAUAGGGCUGUGUGGAAGGGUCCUUAGAUCAAAUACAUGAAUGAAUAAUUAAAUCUUCAAAAGUUAAACACAGCAAUGAAGACAGGUUUUUUUUGUUUUGUUUUGUUUUGUUUUGUUUUUUUGUUUUUGUUUUUUGCAGUUUCCAGGGCCUCCUGGGGUCAAAAAAAACUUUUUAAUGGCCCCUAAUGCUCUUACUGGAAGCCAAGUAAGAACCUAAGUGUUGUGGAGGCAAUUUCAUCAUCUUUCCACACCUUUUCCCAUUAUAGUCUUUGGGCCCUUCCACACAGCCGUAUAACCCAGAAUAUCAAGGCAGAUAAUCCACAAUAUCUGUUUUGAACUGGGUUAUCUGAGUCCACACUGCCAUAUUGUCACGACCCAGGCUGCAGAGCACCAAUAACCAUACACAGAGGCCAGAUUCUACCUAAUAUCUUUAUUAAGGAAAUAUAUAAAGUUAAUAAAAACAAGUAUAGGAAAUAGUCCAGAAGUAGACCUUUCAGGAAAGGUCAAAAUUAGUCCAAAAAAGCAAUGUCCAAUAUGAAAUAUUAAGGUCCAAAGUUGUAAUCCAAUAACCGAAACACUCACUUGCCAAGCAAGUGAGGGGAGAUGACAAGGUCCUUUAGUCCAUGAACUUGAGCAAGGCUAGGAAAUAACUUGAUUCUUGGCACACAAAGCUUGAUUCAAGGCAACAAGGAAACGAGGAGCAAGAACAAGAUCCGUGGUAAUUACUUGGCGAGGUCCGGGAAACAAGGCAAGAUCCGGGGAGAAAACAAGGCUGAGAACGAAGGCUUGGAACAGGAACAAAGGCUUGAAAGCAGGAGUAGCUGUCCACACACGCUGCUCCGGUAGCUGACGAAUUGACUCCGCAAGAUCCCUUCGUGGGCAAAACACCUAAAUAGGGUCUAGUUUUCCCGCCAAAGAGCAGUUCUCUGGAGAACCAGAAACGAAAGCUAUUCUCUGAGUCCAGAUGCAUGACUCCUUAAAGUUUCCCAUGGAAAGCAGGCUUAAUCAGCUGAAUGCUUAGCAGCUAUCCUAGCACUCCUGCGAGACGCCUGUUGAACUCCCCUCUGUUGUUUACAAAAAUCAUGGCGAGAAAACGGGGGAGAUUUUGGCUCGGGGCUUGUUUGACAGACUUCUGGAAGACAAAUCUCUUGCAGGUGCAAAGGCUCAAUUUCUGGCUGGGAUAGUUCCUUUUCUGGCUGAAAUGGUGGAAAACCCAAGUUUUCCUCUUCAUCAUUCACAACAGUACUAGGAACGGGACUACAUGGCCCAUGAGUCAUCACACAUAUAGUCCAGUUCAAUGUGGAUUUUAUACAGCUGUGAGGAAGAGGCCUCAGUGACUUCCUGCACGGCAGAAUGAGUUUGGACUGGGUGGCCUUUGUGGUCUUUUCCAACUCUAUUUUUCUAUGAGUCUAAAUACAUGCUGUUAUCUAAACUCGCUAAAUUCUAAACUCACUAAAUUCAGUGUCUAAAAUUAUCUAAGUGCACCACUGUAGUUGGGCAAUAAUAUUAUUAGGACAGUGUGAAAUAAAGCUUCAAGAAUUGUAAUUGUUGUCGACCGCGUUUUUAGGGGAUCGGGCCCCUUAAGGAGAGAGCCGAUCCGGUCCUGAGAGAACGGACCUUGGCGGAGCCAAUAGGAGAAUAUGAGCCGCAAUACAACCUGAAGCCGAAAUGAAGAAGGUCCGCCAAAGUUGAAGGAAAAUCCGCCAAGGAGUCUUUAUUGAGCGAUUCAGCUGAAAAGGACUCUAGUAGUGAUCAUUCAGUCUACUAGGGUACCAUAUUAUCAAAAUAAAGCCAUAUUUAUACAAAGUUUCAGUCUGACAGCCCUUUGAAUUUCCCGCCCCGCUCCCCCGCCCAUCUGAUCGCGGAUAGGCUAGAGUGUUGAACGAGGCGGGCUUUCGUUUCCCGCCUUGCUCUGCUGGCCCAAUAGGGAGCUGCUUUUUGUCCCCACUCGGGCCAAUCAGAGAGGAGAAGGCGGGAGUUAUUGAAACAAUGAAAUGACUGAGCAGGAAGGAUCGGAUUAAUUCCUGCCCGGCCGAAUUCUAAAGGGAUUAAUGACAGCAAUCAAGGGUUCCUGUCACGUACACAGAUGUCAGAUACGCCUUGGGGUGUCAGAGGUGGAAGUAGGGAUAGGUGGUGAUGGACCCAGCAGGGCGCCUUCCUGAGGUGUCCUGGAUUUCCUUUGGAGGAGAUAUGACAAUGUUUGCCUUGAGGGCGAAUCACCUUUAGGUCAAAAUACUCCGAAUUCGGCGACUCAAGCCCUAUAUUGUCCAUGCAAUCUGAAUCUGAUUAGGUUAAGCGGCAGCGGAUUAACCUUUUGUUUUUUUGGGAAGGUAAGCCUGGGUCAUAGAAAAUGGGGCAGGUCCUGGGGUUCAAGUUGAGUUCGAAAUAUUCCCUAUCUGAUUUCAUGACUUAGCAAUUAUAUGAAAUAAAAUGAAAAAUAAAAUAAAGUUGGAAUACAAACCCAGCUGGGAAAAAUACAUAUUUUCCGGGGAUCCCAAAGAGUACAAAUACAUAUAGGCAGAUAGAUAGAUUUCAAGGAAGUAAGGGAGAAUCCAUAGAGGUGGGUUACAUUGCAUGAAGGGGAAUCAUGAAUGAUAUAAACAAUUUGAAAACAUUUGAUAAGAACGAAGUUCACAACAUCUGGGGAACCCAAUAUGGAAAUUCAUAAAAGUGGAGUUUUAGCAGCAUGAUCUCACAAUUCAUGAAGUUAGCCCAACGAUUAGAAAUUCAUACAACAGUGAUUCAUGAGGGUGUCCAGGUACAUAGAAUAUGAAAAUUCACGGAUACAUGAGGAAAAGAGUUCAUCUGUGGUGGAAGGAAUUCAUAGAGAUGGCAUGGGGAAGGGGCACAUGUGGGUUGCAGUCUUUGGAAGUAUAAGAUUUCAUAAGUCCAGGGAUAGGUCUGGGGAAGAGUGUUCUUCUCCUUCAUAAAAUUAUGAAGGUAUGAAUGAAACGUGGAGUGCGCCCGUCCAGGCACCCUCCUGGCAGGCUGUAGAGAGGGCGAAGGUCCUUGGAGAACUAUGUCUCCCCAGCGGGAGAGCGAUCCCCCCCCUCCCCAGUUCACAGAAAGGGACCAGGGAUCUCCUAAAACCAUCCCGCGGGUCGCGGAGAGAGGAAAGUCCGGGAUAAGGCUGGAAGAGAGCAGUCUGGCUUGAAAGGAGCAGUCGGUUCUGUUUGACAGUCAGCUGAUGAGGUGCCGAGAACUGGACCGAUUUUGGUUCCGUUGGUGGUCCUUGAGUCAGGAGCCUUAGAAAGGGUUAGGACUAAAAGAGGAGCGUGCUAGGGGUAAUUUUGAUAAAGAUAUGAGCCAAUUUGUAUCGUCCGCUGUAUUAACCUAUGGCGGGGAAGCCUCCGCCAGGGUUUAAAGAUCAGAGGGGUUAGUGAGUGAGAGAGAGAGAGAGAGAAAUUGCAUGCAAAGGAAGGAGUCAGAGAAAGACACAAAAUAACCAGAGUGUUACUGUUAAAAUAAAUGCUACUUUUAUUGGGGGAUUUGUUACAUAGUUCAGGGAAGGGGAAAGUGAGAAAAAAAGAUCUUUUAAUAAUAGUCUGCUGCGGUCCCGCUCCGUUCCUUUUGGUGAUGGAUCUGCGGAACUCUCCGCUGCGGGUUCAAAUCAAUUUGAGAGCCGGGGUGACGGUCAUCAUAAUCAUCCAAUAAUACUGCUACCUCUGCACCUCUGAAAUCUUCCAUCACCAAAGGGAAAAUAUGACCGCAUCUACAUUGCCAUAUAAUGCAGUUUGAAACUGCACUGAACUGCAUUAUAUGAGUCUACACUGACCAUAUAAUGCAGCUUCAAACUACAUUAUAUGGCAGUAUAGAUGGGACCAUACUUUCCUUUCGGUGGUAGAAAACUCCAGAAGAGCAGAGGAUCAGAGUGUUUCACGGUUAUCCGCCUUUGUAUAUUAUUACUGUGAUCAUCAACAAAAAAACUUUCAAGAGUCUGAAAAAAUAACAUUUUGUGAUAACAGAUCCCAUAAUUCUUUAGCUAGUUUGGAAAUUGUUGAUUAGGGAAUUCUGGAAGUUGUCAUCCGAAUGAAAAAAUUGGGUGGAUUUCAAAAGAGCUGCAUCAUGCAAGGGAAGGGUUAAAUGUAUCCUCCCUAUACCGGAAUUCUGAUCUUGAUUGCUCUCCAACUGCUGUUUAAACCUUUAAAAACAUGCAAUGAAUGUAAGCUUUUAAUAUGAAUGUCCUACGUAUUAGUCCAGAUUCCCAGAUAAUAUCCCAUGAUAAUGCUGGUGCAUGAGAUAAAACAGCUGAUCUCCUGAGAUGGCUUCCUUGCUUCUUUUGCAUCACCAUCACAAAUUCAGUCUGUGGUGUUAAGCCAUUUUAAUUUUUUAUUUAUGACAAACAAUAACAAAACCAUAUAAUAAAAAGGGGAAGGAACACCCCCAUCCCAUAAGUAAGACACAAAAAACACUGAUCAUGUCUAUUAAUCAAUACAAACUUUGUUGUUAAGUUGAACUCUAUCCCAGUAUCCCUUCCAUCACUUACAUUGUAUGAAAAAGCUGAAACCCCAAAUGUCUGGUGAUGAAAUGAUGGACUUCACAAUUUUCACUCAGUUCCUGAGGAAGUAAAAGGAGGCCAAACCAGAUUAUAAAAAACUUUGUUAUAAAUCAUAUCAGAAGACGCCACAUGGGAACAUUGAUGGAAACUUGUCAGAUUUAAAUAAAGUACAGUAGAGUCUCACUUAUCCAAUGUUCUGGAUUAUCCAACACAUUUUUGUAGUCAAUGUUUUCAAUAUAUCGUGAUAUUUUGGUGCUAAAUUCGUAAAUACGGUAAUUACUACAUAGCAUUACUGCGUAUUGAACUACUUCUUCUGUCAAAUUUGUUGUAUAACAUGAUGUUUUGGUGCUUAAUUUGUAAAACCAUAGCCUAAUUUAAUGUUUAAUAGGCUUUUCCUUAAUCCCUCCUUAUUAUCCAACAUAUUCACUUAACCAAUGUUCUGCCGGCCUAUUUAUGUUGGAUAACUGAGACUCUACUGUAAAUGAAUAUAUAAACUAAAGUCUGAAAUUGCCAAAGAAAGAAGUUUUGAUGGGUGGUGUGUUAUAUACUUUUUCCACAGAAUCAUGGGAUCUUUGAGUUUGAAAAGAUCACAAAGGCCUUCUAAUUCAAUCCCCUGCCAUGCAGGAAUUAUAUAACCCUAGAAUUAUCCCUAUCCAACCUCUGCUUAAAGAUCUCCAAAGGAGUCCACAACCAUCAAAGAAAGGCUAUCACACUAUGAAACAGCAAUGACAGUAAAGAAGUUGGGUUGCUGCGAGUUUUCCUGGCCAUGUUCCAGAAGCAUUCUCUCCUGACCUUUGGCCCACAUCUAUGGCAGGCAUCCUCGGAGGUUGAACAAAGGGUUCACCCAGGCAGGAAUCAGCCAGACCUUGAAGCUGCAAGCCUUUUCAAUGCAAAUCAAGGUGCUUAAUUGCAACAUUCACACUUGCCUCCAACAGACAAGAGUUCUUUCUCCUACCCUGGACCUUCCACCGAUAAAUAAACCUCCCUUGCCUAGUUUCUAAUAUACCUCACAACCUCUGAGGAUGCCUGCCAUAGAUGUGGGCGAAACGUCAGGAGAGAAUGCUUCUGGAACAUGGCCAUACAGCUUGGAAAACUCACCGCAACCCAGUGAUUCUGGCCAAGAAAGACUUCAACGACACAGUAAAGAAGUUCUUCCUAAUCUUUAGAUGGAAUACUCUUCCACUUGAAUCUAUUAUUAAUACCCUGGUAUUUGGGGCAACAGAAAACAAACCUCUACAUCUUCUACAUGCAGUCCUUUCAGGUAUUUAAAAAUGGUUGUAAUGUCACCUCUCAGUCUUUUCUUUUCCAAGUUAAACAUAUCCAACUUCAGAAAUCUUGUAAGAUUUGAUUUUUAUUGGUCUUGGUAAUCAUCAUCUGGACAUGUUCCAGCUUCUCACUGUCCUUUUUGGAUUGUACUGUCCAGAAUUGAAAAUAGUAUUUCAGGAAAGGAGUGAGUGUUUAAAAGUUGCUUCCAAUGCAAUUGUGCUUUGAAAGUACUCAUAUAAUUAAUAUAAUAGUGUUUUAAUAUCACAAAGUUUGUAUACAGUGUUCCCUCAUUUAUCACGGGGGUUAGGUUCCAGGACCACCCGCAAUAAGUGAAAAUCCGCAAAGUAGGGACACUAUAUUUAUUUUAAUAUUUAUACAUUAUUUUAGUAGUUGUACAUUAUUUUAAGCAUUUAUCAACCAACUGUGUGUUGAUAAAUCACCUCCUUCUCCUCCCAUUGCUGCUUGGGCUCCUUUUCUCUCCCUUUGGCUUCUCCUUCCUCCCUUCCUUAGGCUGUAAAUUGUAAUUUUUUAGGAUUUAUAACAGUCUUUUAGAGUUUAUUGAAAAAAACGUGAAACAGUAAAUCCAGGAAAAAUGAACCGCGAAGUAGUGAGGGAACACUGUAUCUAGUUUUACUUUAUGAUUUAAGUUUGUUGUGAGGUUUUGAGAGGAUACAGGAUAUAAACAAUAAAGAGGUAAAUGAAUGAAUUGGAGGACUUGCUUGAUAAACAUUUUUUAUUAUUACAAGAACAUCAGAAAGACUUAUCAAGCUGCAAGAAGAACAGAAUUGUAAGAAGAGCUACAAUCUGGUACCUUCCAGAUCCGUUGGACUACAAUUCCCAUCACCAAUCAGUUAAUGGCCUUGGGUCAUUGAAGUUGUAGCCUAUCGCAAAUAGCAUUGAUACCCCUCAGUAAUUGGUUUGUCUGCUUAUUGAUUUAAGCAUUUCGAUGCUGUUUGGGGAUGAAACUUUCAAAGGAGGUUUCCACAAAAUUAAUUAUAAAAAUGUUCAGCGAUAAAAAUAAAAUAAGAAAGACAAUGAAAAACAAAACAGCAGGAAGGAGGAGAAAGCCAAAUAAAACCAUCAGACUAGACCAAAAUACAUGCCAAAGCCAAGUCAAAUAAACAUGCCUUUUCUGGAAAUUAAUCUCUACAUUUGCCUCUUUCACUGUCAGACUAGACAGCUACACUUAGCAUAUUUUGAACUAAAACCUGGAGCAGAUGGCUUCCCUCAAAUGAUGAAAGUAAUUUGUUUGUCAUAGCAUAUGAUUGCUCUCAAUGGUGUAUCUUGCAUUUAGCAUGCUUGGCUUUGUGACUGGUCAUCAGAAGUUUAACAUGAACUUAGUUAUCUGAUUGAUGCUGGAGAUACUGCAACACCCCGAGGAACCCCCAUUAUGAGACAGAAAUUUUAUUAAUUACAAAGAAUACACAUUCUUUUUAACUUCUAGUUUGAGCAUCAGUAAAACAGUGAAAGUGCAGAGCACUGGUCAUGCUGGUUGGGGAUUUUACAACCAGAAAAAAUAAUUGUCGGAUUCUGAUUUUUUCCUGUUAAUACAUUUGGCUGGAUUAUUUUAUUGACUUGUUCACAAAUAGAUUACAUACUCUAAGUCAGGGGUCCCCAAACUAAGGCCCAGGGGCCAGAUGCGGCCCAUCAAAGCCAUUUAUCCGGCCCCCACAGCACAAGGGCAGAAGGGGGUUGGGCUAAAUGACCCAAGGGGUCUCUUCUUCUCUUACAACCCUUUAUUAUUAUUAUUAUUAUUAUUAUUAUUAUUAUUAUUAUUAACAUUGAGGCUGGGUGGACAUCUGUCAGGGGUGCUUUGCUUGUGGUUUCGGUGCACAAAGGCAGAAAGGGAUUGAACUCAAUGGCCCAAAGGGUCUCUUUUUUAUUAUUAUUGUUGUUGUUGUUAUUAUUAUUAUUAAUUAUUGAUCGGUGGCCAGCUAUACUCCGGCCCUCCAAUGGUCCGAAGGAUCGUGAACUGGCUCCCUGUUUAAAAAGUUUGGGGACCCCUGCUCUAAGUACUCCCCAUUGCUUUCCCAAGAGCUAUGUUACAUUUAAUUGAAAUAACACAUUUACUAUAUGCCAUGUUCUCCACUUUCUCAAUUGUUUCUUUUGUGUCAAAUUUCAUACUUGGGCAAGAGCCUGCCCUUCUGUACUUGUAAAGCGGUUGCUGUUGUUGCAUGCCUUCAAGUUGUUUCUGACCCAUGUUAACAACAAAGCAAACCUAUCACAAGGUUUUAUUUGCAAGAUUUGUUCAGAAGAUGUUUUCCAUUGCCUUCCUCUGAGGCUGAGAGAGUGUCACUUGCCCAAAACCAUCCAUUGGGAUUCCAUGAUCAAACAAGGAUUCAAACCCUGUAGUAAAAAUGUUGUGCUCUCCUUGCCCCUGAUCUGUGGCGAAAACAGCUAGGGAUUUGAUCUUGGUGCACACCCAAUGCACCCAUGUCAGGUGUAGGCCAGGAGUGGGAACCCUCAUCUAAGAUGUAAAUAAAGGAGGGGAGGGCGACCGCAAAUGGCCUAGGAACUGGAGAAUAUGACAUCAAUACAUUAUUGGGACAUAAUUCUCUGUCAUGUUUCCCUUAUCAGCCAAGGCAUGGAACGAAAGGUCACUACCAUGGCUUUACCCUCACCAAGUUCAUUGCCAAGUUCAUUACCCAUUUUAGUCCUUCCUGUAAGUUACAAAGUUUAAUUAGAUGAUAUUAAUAAAAGUUGCCCAUAGUUAAUCCA